rnacentral:tRNA from 1 species
GUGCGUGACCAGGAUUCGAACCUGGGUUAUUGUGGCCACAACACAUUGUCCGAACCACUAGGCGAUCACGGCA